rnacentral:rRNA from 1 species
UUGAUGGCAGUGUAUUGGACUACCAUGUCGAUCACGGGUAACGGAGAAUUAGGGUUCGAUUCCGGAGAGGGAGCCUGAGAAACGGCUACCACAGCUACGGUAGGCAGCAGGUGCGUAAAUUACCCAAUCCUAAUUCAGGAAGGUAGUUACAGGAAGUUUGUGCAUUAGUAUUUAUACUAGACACAAAUGAAUACAUUUAAGCAUUGUGUGUUAGAUUGGAGGGCAAGUUUUGGUGCCAGCAGCCGCGGUAAUUCCAACUCCAAUAGUGUAUCUUAAUUUUGCUGCAGUUAAAAAGCUCGUAGUUGAAUUUCUGGCCGUUUGGGAGUCUCAUUGACAACUAGACGGUCAUCCGCUUGGAGAGGCUUGGUUUAUGUUAAAGUUUACCCUGACGAACCAGCAUUUUACUUUGAAGAAAUUAGAGUGUUCCUGGCAGGCCUUGCUUGAAUAUGUUAGCAUGGAAUAAUGGAAUAAGACUUAGACUAUUCUACUGGUUGAUAGGAUAAGUAAUGAUUAACAGGGACAGUCGGGGGCAUUCAUACUCAGUGGCUAGAGGUGAAAUUCUUAGAUUCGCUGAAGAUGAACUAAUGCGAAAGCAUUUGCCAAGGAUGUUUUCAUUAAUCAAGAACGAAAGUUAGGGGAUCAAAGACGAUCAGAUACCGUC